rnacentral:rRNA from 1 species
GUUCGGAUUGUAGUCUGCAACUCGACUACAUGAAGCUGGAAUCGCUAGUAAUCGCGAAUCAGAAUGUCGCGGUGAAUACGUUCCCGGGUCUUGUACACACCGCCCGUCACACCAUGGGAGUUGGGAAUGCCCGAAGCCGGUGACCUAACCGAAAGGGAGGAGCCGUCGAAGGCAGGCUUGAUAACUGGGGUGAAGUCGUAACAAGGUAUC